CGGAGCCUGACAGGAUCCGGACGAGGCGCACCGUACCCGGCUCGGCAAAGACGGUGCACU
rnacentral:ncRNA from 1 species